rnacentral:lncRNA from 1 species
GUAGUUAUUGUUGCAAACUCCAUUAGAAAUUUUAAUUGAGAUUAGUUUUGGAAUAAGGGAAAGGGGAUGUGAUUAAAAAAAUUGGGUUCAAUUUUUCUCAUUUGAAAUUUCAUAAAUAAAAAAGAAAAUUUCUUCAAACAUUUUUUUGAGAGGAUUAAUAUUCAACAGCAUAGUGAAUUGCUCUAAGAGAAAACAAAAUUUUAAGUUCAUUAGAACACAUUCAUUCUGUGUCAGAAACCUAUGCUGUGUCAACUAUUUAAUCACAAUCCAAAUUUAGAGCUGAAUCCAGCUUGAAUGUUGUGUCCAUACUUGCCCCAACCGUUCAGGGUUCAACCUCUGCGGUCGUAUAAAGCUACGCCCUGCGGAGCAUCUGGUUGAUAUUUG